AGCAGCCGCGGUAAUUCCAGCUCCAAUAGCGUAUAUUAAAGUUGUUGCAGUUAAAAGCUGUAGUUGAAUUUUCGGAUUGCACAUGUUGGUGGUCUUCGCUUAGGGUAUGCAUGCUGUUUCGUUGCUUUGACUUUCUGAGCAACCUUCUGGACGAAAUCGUUGCAAUUAGUUUCGUUGUUUCGGGGUUGGGGGUAUAUGGAAUCCUAGUAACCUUUUUAGCAAAAUUUGAAAAAAUUAGGUGAUUGAAUGUUUUCAAAGGCCAGGCCAUUUUUCGCCUUGCAUGAAUCAACAUUUUGGCAAUUGGGGAAAUUAAAUUGAA
rnacentral:rRNA from 1 species